CGGCGACUGACCCGGCGCGAGCUGUUCUCCGUACGUGCGCGCGAGAGCCUCGAAGGAUGGAAGCGUUAGCCUCGGAGCUGUACGGCGUGCAGGCGGUGCGCUUCGGCGAGUUCGUGCUCAAGAGCGGCCUCGUCUCCCCGGCCUAUGUCGACCUGCGUGUCAUCGUGUCGCACCCGGCCCUGCUCAACAAGGUAGCAGGUUUCCUUUUUCAAACAGCAAAGGAUGCUGCAAUCAAGUAUGACUCUGUGUGCGGGGUCCCAUACACGGCUUUGCCCCUGGCUACAAUCAUCUGCUCAACCAACCAGAUCCCAAUGCUUAUACGGCGAAAAGAAGCUAAAGAUUAUGGUACCAAACGUCUUGUGGAGGGGACUAUAAACUCAGGAGAAACUUGUCUGAUCAUUGAAGAUGUAGUUACCACUGGUUCAAGUGUUCUGGAGACGGCAGAGACCCUUCGGAAAGAGGGGUUGAAGGUUACAGAUGCUAUAGUGCUUUUGGACAGAGAGCAAGGAGGGGUAGCCCUGUUGGAGAAGCAUGGCAUACGCCUACACUCUGUAUGCACCUUAUCUAAAAUUCUCAAGAUCCUUGAGCAGCAAGAAAAAGUUUCUCCUGAGAUGGUGGCAAGAGUAGAAAAAUUCAUCCAGGAGAAUAUUAUUAAACCACCUGAGCAAAAUGGUACUCCUCCCGUGAAAAGAAUGUGCAAAGAAAUGAGCUUUGCUGCUCGGGCUGAACUGCCAGACACUCAUCCCCUCGCUGCACAACUUCUCAGGCUGAUGGAGAAAAAGCAGUCUAAUUUGUGUCUUUCUGCUGAUGUGACUAACUCCAAAGAAUUGCUCCAGCUUGCUGCAACUUUGGGCCCUUCCAUCUGUAUCUUGAAGACUCACAUUGAUAUUCUAGAUGAUUUCACCCAAGAAAUAGCCAAGGAGUUGAGAGCACUUGCAGAUAAGCAUGAAUUCUUGAUAUUUGAAGAUCGCAAGUUUGCAGACAUUGGAAAUACUGUGAAGCAUCAGUAUGAAGGUGGUAUUUUCAAAAUAGCAUCCUGGUCAGAUAUAGUUAAUGCUCAUGCUGUUCCUGGACCUGGAGUUGUUAAGGGAUUGAAAGAAAUAGGGCAUCCUUUACAGAGAGGGUGUCUCUUGAUCGGUGAGAUGAGCUCAGAAGGGUCGCUGGCCACUGGUGACUAUACAAAAGCUGUGGUUAAAAUGGCUGAGGAACACUCGGAUUUUAUUCUGGGAUUUAUUUCUGGCUCCAGAAUUAUUGACAAACCUGAAUUUCUUCAUCUAACUCCUGGUGUUCAGAUGCUAGCUGGAGGUGAUAAUCUUGGGCAGAAGUACCUCAGUCCUCAGGAAGUGAUUGGUAAAAGAGGUUCGGAUAUCAUCAUUGUAGGCCGUGGUAUCUUAUCUGCACCCAGUCGCCCAGAUGAAGCAGAGACGUAUAGAAAAGCAGCAUGGGAAAGCUACUUGCAGAGAAUUGGUGUCAGUGCACAAAAAUAGCACAACUGCUGUGUUUCAUUAAGCAAGCCAAAUUCUAGAAGCAGGAAGGAUUGAGAAGCCCAUCCAAUUGUUUGCCUGCUGCCACACCUCUUCAUUACAGAUUAUUGAACAGUGAACCUAGCAACUUUGCCUCUUGGACAAGGUGAUGCAGCAUUAAGGCUGAUUUCUUCGCGAAGAGGAAAUGCAAUGUCACUGCCAACAAACAGUAAGCUUUAUAAAACAAAAGUACUUUAUAUGCUGCCUCUCUGUAACUAGGCAUUUAGAAACCUGAUCUUAAUACAUUUAACACUGUGCUUCUUUAAAGAUCUUUAUUGUUCAGUGUUAAAGUAGAUUAGGUUAAACCUAACGUGUCAUAUAGUGAGAACUAGUGAGCAGCCUUUAGAGGACCUCUAGUUGUCUCCUUUGCCAGCAUGCAAAACUGGUGACAUUGAACAGAAACAGAGAUUACGUAUCUUACGUUUUGUGGUUAGUUGAAUUAUGCAAAUAUUACAGUGUCCACACUUGGGUUUAUUUUAUUUUCACCAUGGGUCACGUAGUGAGUAAAUAGGGGCUGAUAAAUUCAGGUUAAAAAGAUCAACAACCAGAUGCUAAGCAUGUGUACUGGAAGUAAAGUUCAGUGGGAAUUAAUCCUAAAUAAGCAUGCUUGGAGUCAAAACAUUUCCAGCUACUUAAAAGCUACUGUGACUGUUGUAAUGUGGAAUUUCAGAUAACUGAGCAGUUUGUAAGUGUACAGGUAAACCUAAAACUGAUGGGCUGAACAAGCAGUCUUCCUUGUUUAU